rfam:Desertifilum sp. IPPAS B-1220 NODE_5_length_178902_cov_33.8927, whole genome shotgun sequence.
AUUGCAAUUACUCCUAAUCCCUAUUAGGGAUUGAAAC